CCUACGGGGCGCUGCAGUGGGGAAUAUUGGACAAUGGGCGAAAGCCUGAUCCAGCCAUGCCGCGUGUGUGAAGAAGGCCUUCGGGUUGUAAAGCACUUUCAGUGGGGAAGAAAGCCUUGGGGCUAAUACCCUCGAGGAAGGACAUCACCCACAGAAGAAGCACCGGCUAACUCCGUGCCAGCAGCCGCGGUAAUACGGAGGGUGCGAGCGUUAAUCGGAAUUACUGGGCGUAAAGCGCGCGUAGGCGGUCUGAUAAGCCGGUUGUGAAAGCCCCGGGCUCAACCUGGGAACGGCAUCCGGACCUGCCGGGUAAGGGGGGAGGAGAGAAGGGUAGAAUCCCGGGUGAAGCGGUGAAGGGAGGAGAGACCGGGAGGAAUACCGGGGGCGAGGGCGGCCUUUGGGACUGACACUGACGCUGAGGUGCGAAGGCGUGGGAAGCAAACAGGAUAAGAUACCCUAGUAGUC
rnacentral:rRNA from 1 species